rnacentral:pre_miRNA from 1 species
CUCACAAAGUGACUGUUAUAUGUAGAGCUAGUUUUCAUAUCACAGCCAACUUUGAUGAGUG